rnacentral:rRNA from 1 species
UACGUAGGGGGCAAGCGUUUGUCCGGAAUCAUUGGGCGUAAAGCGCGUGUAGGCGGCCCGGUAAGUCCGCUGUGAAAGUCGGGGGCUCAACCCUCGAAUGCCGGUGGAUACUGUCGGGCUAGAGUGCGGAAGAGGCGAGUGGAAUUCCUGGUGUAGCGGUGAAAUGCGCAGAUAUCAGGAGGAACACCAAUUGCGAAGGCAGCUCGCUGGGACGUGACUGACGCUGAGACGCGAAAGCGUGGGGAGCAAACAGG